rnacentral:rRNA from 1 species
UACGGAGGGGGCUAGCGUUGCUCGGAAUCACUGGGCGUAAAGGGUGCGUAGGCGGGUUUUUAAGUCAGGGGUGAAAUCCUGGAGCUCAACUCCAGAACUGCCUUUGAUACUGAAGAUCUUGAGUUCGGGAGAGGUGAGUGGAACUGCGAGUGUAGAGGUGAAAUUCGUAGAUAUUCGCAAGAACACCAGUGGCGAAGGCGGCUCACUGGCCCGAUACUGACGCUGAGGCACGAAAGCGUGGGGAGCAAACAGG